ensembl:snRNA U6 U6 spliceosomal RNA
GUGCCCACUUUGGCAGCACAUAUAUAAACUGGGAACAAUACAGAGAAGAUUAGUAUGGCACCUGCACCAGGAUGACAUGCAAAUUCUCUCUCUCUCUCUCUCUCUCU